CUCUCUCUCUGUCUCUGACUGUCUGUCUGUCUGUCUCUCUCUCUCCUCCACCCCCACUGGGUUCUUUACUCAUGCUACCCUCUUGCAUACGCAGACAAGCAGCUGGAACUUCUCAGUUGUGUCCGGUUACAAUGUUUCACGGGGAGCGUCUCUUUCAGCAUCACUGCUAUUCUGAAGCAGCAUCCCUCAUCAAAGGACAUGUUGCUCCGGCAUUUCAGCCUGGAGAAGGAGCAGCAGGAAGGGCGGUGACUCAAACCCAGAACCCGGAAAAACAAACACCCACCAGUGACUCACAGCCAGCUCACUCAGGGAUGCUAAGUCUUUCCUUUUCUCCCAAGCCUGGGCCAGCACCACCCCUGACAACCCCCAGGCUCGGCCUUCCUGCUCUGUGGCAAUGCAGAUGUGGCUGGAACUCCCCAUGGAGUCAGGGAUGCGUCAGUGACCCAAAGAUAGAGUUCACUGGGUCAGGGGAUUAAGGCAAUGACUGUCUCAUUUCUUUAAAAAAAUUUUUUUUAGAUGAAUGUUUGAAAAACUCUGACUUAUUGAGUGUGAGUCAGUCUUGAGUGUUUCUGGUUUGGGAUUAGAGAUUUUUGUCCCAUCUCUCUGCCUGCUUUAAUUGAGAUUUUAAUGAUCUAGUCAGCCAGCCGAGAGGAGAUGUGGUCGGGGGGUGGGGCAACAUCUGGAGUCUGGGGUUCUCUCUCCAGCUCUCCUUUGCUGUGGGGUCCUAGGUUAGGAUUAGGGUCUUGGCCACUUCUAUCUCCUAAUGAUAAAAGUACUUUUUAAAAUAAAGCUCAAAGGCCCCACAAAACCCUAAUUCUUAGGUGCCUCAGUUUAUAUUUAUGUAAAACCUGGGUGCGGAAUCCUUUGUAGGAAAGCCUUUUGAAACCCUCAGAUGAAAGCCCACAUGUAAAGGGGAAUCAUCCUCAUUUAUUUUUAAAUGACAUUACUGCACGCAUGAGUGGACAAAUGCAAUUGGAAGCAGCCUGAACGGGGUACUGCUUGCCAUCCCGUUCUACCCAUUGACCCUGUUUGCUUUGGACUGAGAUGUGAGGACCUCUUUGCGCUCUUGUCUCCAAGAUUUCCCACAGCCAGACUCUGUGGAAGGAAUCUAUACCCCAUUUGGAAAAAUGACAGCCAAGCCUGUUGAGGAGAGAUGUCUUCAGUGACCCAGGAUAGAAGACGAAAGGCAACCAAGAGGAAGAGACAGUGACUAAUCCGUCAGCUGAGCCACAUUCCGAAGUGAACUUGGUGGGGACAAAUGCCAUCGAGGAACUGCUCUAAGACUGAGCCCAUUUCCCCAGUGAUUGAGGUGGUAUAGGGGAAAGUGUGCCCUAUGCAUUGGGGGAAAUAUUUGUGCUUCUGUUCUUGAUUUAUCUUAGAAAAAUAUACCUUUAUAAAAACUAAGUGAUGUUAACCGAUUAAAUGAUACUCAGUGCUAAUCACCCGUGGCUUACGAUGGGAAGAAGACGUCAGAAUGGGGACACUAGCCAACAGUGUCAGAGAAGACAUCACUCUUACUCCUCAGAGAUAACAACCCUGAGAGCGAGAAGUAGACUUGUUCUCAAGCCCUGAUUGAUCAAUGCUCCAAGCCCAGCUGCCCCUUUCUCCAUAACUUGAUGGGACUAGGUAAGCAAAUUAACUAUGUGCUCUAAGCAGAACAGUGGCUUCUAAUGUUUAUCACUUUUCAACAACAGAAUGGUUCAUUUAUUGUUUAUGAGGUACCAUAGGUCAUGUGUGGGCCUUAUCUCCUGGAUGGCAGCCUUUUAAUUGUCUCUCAGCUGUAUGGGUGCAGGUAUGUCAUUCAAUUUAUCAACUGAUAUUUAAGAGUUGCUGAAGAAUUAGCUGAUUCUCCCCUUCUCAGUAGGGGGCAAACACCUCUACUUACUUUCUAUUCUGGCUGAUAAUUCUCUCUCAGUUGUUUGCAAGGCUCGCUUUCUUCUGAGCCCAGGAGACAUAUUUGGAUUUGGUUCCAGUCUGGGGAACUGCAGGGUCCAAAGGAAGAGAAAGCGCAGGAGACUCAUUUCAUCCGCGUAGAAGGAAAUAACCUCAUGUCUCCACCAUUCUGAGGGAAGAUGUUACAAAGCACAUGCGUGUCUGUGUUUCUCAGUAGGGCAUUGACUUGAGGAAAAAUGCUGGCAGAACGAAGAUGAACGUGGUCAGGCCAGGAUCUUCUGAACAUCUUCUAGGAAGAUGGAGAACCCUUCCCAAGAGCCUUUUCUUUCUGUCAGGUCAUACCUGCCCUUGUAGGAAGCUCCUGUGUAUGUGUAUACACCACGUCUGCAUGUGUGUGUGUGUGUGUGUGUGUGUGUGUGGGUUUGUGUGUGUGGGUUUAUGUGCAGGAAGGCUAUAAAUUUGUGCCACUACCAUUACCCCAUUAAUUCCAACAAUCACUGAAAGUUCCUCCCUUUGGUCACAAAACAGAACAGUGGGUAGUGCCAGGUCCAAGACAGUUAAAACUUGUAAACAAUUUACAAAGUCUUUGAUCUGAAACUUUUUUAUGAGUAGGCACAGGGCUCCCCAGCUCUUCCAUGCAUCACAUAAUUGGACUCUAUCCUGGAAAGUCACUGUGGUGUGUUUGAACAAACUGUAGC